UACAGAGGUGGCAAGCGUUGUUCGGAAUUACUGGGCGUAAAGGGCGCGUAGGCGGUCAGGUCAGUCCCGUGUGAAAUCCCUCGGCUCAACUGAGGAACUGCACGGGAAACUGCUUGGCUUGAGUUCGGGAGAGGGAAGCGGAAUUCCGGGUGUAGCGGUGAAAUGCGUAGAUAUCCGGAGGAACACCGGUGGCGAAGGCGGCUUCCUGGACCGACACUGACGCUGAGGCGCGAAAGCUAGGGGAGCAAACGGG
rnacentral:rRNA from 1 species